GACGAACGCUGGCGGCGUGCCUAAUACAUGCAAGUAGAACGCUGAAGAGAGGAGCUUGCUCUUCUUGGAUGAGUUGCGAACGGGUGAGUAACGCGUAGGUAACCUGCCUGGUAGCGGGGGAUAACUAUUGGAAACGAUAGCUAAUACCGCAUAAUAGUAGAUGUUGCAUGACAUUUGCUUAAAAGGUGCAAUUGCAUCACUACCAGAUGGACCUGCGUUGUAUUAGCUAGUUGGUGAGGUAACGGCUCACCAAGGCAACGAUACAUAGCCGACCUGAGAGGGUGAUCGGCCACACUGGGACUGAGACACGGCCCAGACUCCUACGGGAGGCAGCAGUAGGGAAUCUUCGGCAAUGGACGGAAGUCUGACCGAGCAACGCCGCGUGAGUGAAGAAGGUUUUCGGAUCGUAAAGCUCUGUUGUAAGAGAAGAAACGAGUGUGAGAGUGGAACGUUACACCACUGUAGGCGAGUUCACUUACCA
rnacentral:rRNA from 1 species